rnacentral:rRNA from 1 species
AAUGAACGCUGGCGGCGUGCUUAACACAUGCAAGUCGUGCGCGAAGGUGACUUCGGUCGCCGGAGAGCGGCGGACGGGUGAGUAACACGUGGGUAAUCUGCCUAGGAGUGGGGAAUAACCUGGGGAAACUCGGGCUAAUACCGCAUACGUCGUCGGAACUGCGGUUCCGGCAAGAAAGCUGGCCUCUGCUUGCAUGCUAGCGCUCCUAGAGGAGCCCGCGGCUGAUUAGCUAGUUGGUGAGGUAAUGGCUCACCAAGGCGACGAUCAGUAGCCGGCCUGAGAGGGUGAACGGCCACACUGGGACUGAGACACGGCCCAGACUCCUACGGGAGGCAGCAGUGGGGAAUAUUGGACAAUGGGCGAAAGCCUGAUCCAGCAACGCCGCGUGGAGGACGAAGGUCUUCGGAUCGUAAACUCCUGUCAGACGGGACGAACGGACGUCGGUAAAUAAUCGACGUCUUUGACGGUACCGUCAGAGGAAGCCCCGGCUAACUCCGUGCC